UGGGGAAUUUUGCACAAUGGGGGAAACCCUGAUGCAGCGACGCCGCGUGUUUUAGAAGGCCUUCGGGUUGUAAAAAUCUAUUCUAUGGGAAGAAAAUGACAGUACCAUAGGAAUAAGGACCGGCUAAUUACGUGCCAGCAGCCGCGGUAAUACGUAAGGUCCGAGCGUUGUCCGGAAUCAUUGGGCGUAAAGGGUACGUAGGCGGGUAAGCAAGUUAGAAGUGAAAUCCUAUAGCUCAACUAUAGUAAGCUUUUAAAACUGCUCAUCUUUAGGUAUGGAAGGGAAAGUGGAAUUCCUAGUGUAGCGGUGAAAUGCGCAGAUAUUAGGAGGAAUACCGGUGGCGAAGGCGACUUUCUGGCCAUAACCUGACGCUGAGGUACGAAAGCGUGGGUAGCAAACAGG
rnacentral:rRNA from 1 species